GGCACAGAAGCACCACCUCACCCACAGUAGUUUCACCUGCUAUUGUUUCCCCCACACAGGUCCUGGUCAUCUCUGAAAUCCCAGCAAGGCUCAUUUUACCAAGGAAAUGCCACCACAUCUCCCCAGCGCUUGCAGCACCUAGCGUGUGUACGUGCUCAGCAGUGCCAGCACCUCAAGGAGGACAAGGCUGUAAGCAGCCAGCAUUUGGGAUGUGCUGCAAGGGACCCCCGUCUUGAGGGGCCAGAUCAGCGCUCCACUCCGGGGCCAGUGACUCUGGGACAAGGAGAAUGUACCACUUAAAUUUGUCCCAUCAGACCCAGUGGCAGCAGUAGAGCCCAACCAUGUCCUCAGGGAGCUACCGACCAUUGGUGUCAGGGUGAAGAAGCAGAAGAAAAGGAUGUGCUUACGUGUAAAGACUUUUUGACAAAGAUCUGAGCAAUUUCUUUGUGCUUCUGGGCUCUUCAGAGUGAAGGUGAAGAGAAAGCACCAUGAUGGCAUGCACACCUUGAGAUUAAAAUGCUGUUUGCAUGCUCUGUGCGGUGCACAUGGUCAUCUUUGACCACCUUGCAGGGCUCUGUCUGAGGGGCCAGCACAGUUUGGUAUUAUCUGUGGAUGCUGAGUACCAGAGCCACAGCCAGAGAGUUUGUUGUGAGGACAUCACCAGCCCACAGAGGUACCCAGGGUGGGAUUUUCCCCUUCCAGCAGGAUAAACUCCUGGGUUCCUUGGACACGUAGCCCUGUAUA